rnacentral:rRNA from 1 species
UACGAAGGGUGCAAACGUUGCUCGGAAUCAUUGGGCGUAAAGCGCACGUAGGCGGCUUCGCAAGUCGGAUGUGAAAUACCUCGGCUCAACCAAGGACGUGCAUACGAAACUGCGAAGCUUGAGUACUGAAGAGGAUCGCGGAAUUCCCGGUGUAGAGGUGAAAUUCGUAGAUAUCGGGAGGAACACCAGUGGCGAAGGCGGCGAUCUGGGCAGAUACUGACGCUGAGGUGCGAAAGCGUGGGGAGCAAACAGG